AAGUGCCCCCACAGUUUGAGUGG
rnacentral:miRNA from 1 species